CACGUAGGGCGCAAGCGUUGUCCGGAAUUAUUGGGCGUAAAGAGCUCGUAGGCGGUCUGUUGCGUCCGCUGUGAAAACUCGGGGCUUAACCCCGAGCCUGCAGUGGAUACGGGCAGACUAGAGGUAGGUAGGGGAGAAUGGAAUUCCCGGUGUAGCGGUGAAAUGCGCAGAUAUCAGGAGGAACACCCGGUGGCGAAGGCGGGUCUCUGGGCCACUACUGACGCUGAGAAGCGAAAGCAUGGGGAGCGAACAGG
rnacentral:rRNA from 1 species